GAGCAACUCAAGUUGGUUACUUUAGAAAAGGGUUUGUGAGAUGAACGCCAAACUUACCAAAUCAGAGUUGUUUUCAUUGAAGGCUAUGAUUUCUGCUAAAGAUCUCACCGGAGAUACCACCAGCUCUUUCAGGCAAUCUCAAUCAGCUUCGACUCUGUGCCCUUUAAUCCCCCAAAGCUAAUCCCAACAGGCAUUCCUCUGUUACCAAAGCCCGCGGGAACACUAAUUCCUGGGAGCCCGCCAAUGGCAAGAACAGGAGCAAUUGUAGCACCAGGGGUUACCAGAGCAUCUAGUUCAUUCUCCCUCACCAGUUUCUCAAAACCAUCACUUUCAUUCAGGUACAUCACUGAGCAACUCAAGUUGGUUAGUUUAGAAAAGGGUUUGUGAGAUGAACUCGAAACUUACCAAAUCAGAGUUGUUCUCGUUGAAGGCUAUGAUUUUUGCUAAAGAUCUUACCGGAGAUACCACCAGCUCUCUCAGAAAGCUUACAGAGCACUGCUAGGACUUUGGCCUAUUCUGGGGUGUUAAUAUGAGCCGUGAGCAACGCAAAUUGGCAUGUUUGGCUUUAUUUGAAUAUUUUGCAGCACUUUAGAGAAACUAUGUAUAUGAAGUACUG